rnacentral:misc_RNA from 1 species
UGAUGAUGAUGAAGACGAUGAAGAGUCUCUGCCUCAGUAUCGGUUCCGUGUAAGAACUGUUGGGGUACGAUCAGUGAAGUGAAAUGAGAUGCGCAGAUUAUUGACAUAAAUGGCUGAACUUAUCAAUCACAAUGACAAAUUGAAGUACUCACUGGUUGGAAAGUUGAGGUUGGAAAAUCUCUGAUAGAUGUCACAUGCAUUAAGCUGGGAACUGAUGGCCAGAUGAUCAUUCUAACUGUGAAAAUUUGGAAGGAUGGAUUUUAUGUCCUGGACUUGAGCAAGUUUUGGUUUUCCAACAUCUCUCUCACUGUGGCUUUCUUAUGAUAUGUUGCUAAAUGAUGACAUUUGUGAACCGAGGACUGAUGAACGGAUGAUCUUUUUAGCUGGGAAAAUUGGGAAGAAUGGAUUUUGUAUCAUAGACUCGAGCAAGUUUUGCUGUUUCAACAUCUUUCUCGCUAUGGCUUUUUCUCAUGCUAUGUUACUAAAUGAAGACGACAAGUAUCAACUGUACCCCAAUGGAUAGAACCUGAGGUUUAGGUAAUUAUUGUUAUUGGCGAUGUAAUUGCAUCCCUGCCUUUAUAAAUAAUGACACAGUCGGAACGUUUCUUCUAGUCACCAUUGAUGGAAGGGCAAGGCGUGCUAAAGUGCAAACCUAUCUUUGUAGGACUUGCUUGCUAGAGGAAAUUUGUAAGUUUCAAACCCUUACUUCUUAACAGACUAACAAGUCCGUGUUGGUUCAUGUGUAAUCAACAAUUUGUUUUGUUUAUUAAUUACAAUCUUGAAAGAUCAAUUUACAAAAAUCUGAGCUUUAGCUUUCAGUUGUUUAAUGUGAGUUUAGAUAUGAUUCCCACUGACAGUUGAACAAGCUGUUUUCAGCCUUGCCCUACUUUCUGUACUUGAUAAGAGAAUAUAAUGUAGCUAUUUUCACAAACACAUGAGAAUGAUAAAAUAAGCGAACA